AUCCUACGGGAGGCAGCAGUGGGGAAUAUUGCACAAUGGGGGAAACCCUGAUGCAGCCAUGCCGCGUGUGUGAAGAAGGCCUUCGGGUUGUAAAGCACUUUCAGUAGGGAGGAAGGUAGUGUAGUUAACACCUGCACUAUUUGACGUUACCUACAGAAGAAGCACCGGCUAACUCCGUGCCAGCAGCCGCGGUAAUACGGAGGGUGCGAGCGUUAAUCGGAAUUACUGGGCGUAAAGCGCAUGCAGGCGGCCUGUUAAGUCAGAUGUGAAAGCCCGGGGCUUAACCUCGGAAUUGCAUUUGAAACUGGCAGGCUAGAGUCUUGUAGAGGGGGUAGAAUUUCAGGUGUAGCGGUGAAAUGCGUAGAGAUCUGAAGGAAUACCAGUGGCGAAGGCGGCCCCCCUGGACAAAGACUGACGCUCAGAUGCGAAAGCGUGGGGAGCAAACAGGAUUAGAUACCCUGGUAG
rnacentral:rRNA from 1 species